UUUUUACUCACUCCGUUCAACAAAAGAUGUCUUAAAUUUGUCAAAAUUUGGAUGUGUCUAGACAUGACUUAGUGUAUAGAUGCAUUUGAAUUUGGAUAAAGUUGAGACAUCCUUUGUUCGACGGAGGGAGUAGAUG
rfam:Brachypodium distachyon strain Bd21 chromosome 2, whole genome shotgun sequence.